rnacentral:rRNA from 1 species
AUACGGAGGAUCCGAGCGUUAUCCGGAUUUAUUGGGUUUAAAGGGAGCGUAGGUGGAUUGUUAAGUCAGUUGUGAAAGUUUGCGGCUCAACCGUAAAAUUGCAGUUGAAACUGGCAGUCUUGAGUACAGUAGAGGCGGGUGGAAUUCGGUGGGUAACGGGGAAAUGCUUAGAUAUCACGAAGAACUCCGAUUGCGAAGGCAGCUCACUAGACUGUUACUGACACUGAUGCUCGAAAGUGUGGGUAUCAAACAGGAUUAGAUACCCUGGUAGUCCACACAGUAAACGAUGAAUACUCGCUGUUUGCGAUAUACAGUAAGCGGCCAAGCGAAAGCAUUAAGUAUUCCACCUGGGGAGUACGCCGGCAACGGUGAAACUCAAAUGAAUUGACGGGG